rnacentral:misc_RNA from 1 species
UACGGAGGGUGCAAGCGUUGUCCGGAUUUAUUGGGUUUAAAGGGUGCGUAGGCGGCCCCUUAAGUCAGCGGUGAAAGCCCGGGGCUCAACCCCGGAACCGCCGUUGAUACUGGGGGGCUUGAGUACAGACGAGGUGGGCGGAAUUGAGGAUGUAGCGGUGAAAUGCUUAGAUAUCCUCAAGAACACCGAUUGCGUAGGCAGCUUACUAGGCUGUAACUGACGCUGAGGCACGAAAGUGUGGGGAUCAAACAGG